GCUCGCAGGAUGCCAUUGCAACCAGAAUUCUCCAGAGAUGCUCUCUGACAGGUGACAAGGAAACUGGAAGGAGCCACAGGCUUGCAAGAGGCACAAAAAGCAGAACUGAGACCUGGUGGGAGAAGGAGCCACAGGGAUAUAAGUGGAAGGAAUGGCCACCCAUCCUUCAGAAUCCAGUCAUAUCUAUUUUUUCCUGAAGUCUCCUUGGGGAACAUGCACUACAAUAAGAAAAAUGUUAGGAAAAAUGUUGAAAGAGCAAUCCCGGACUCAGAUGUGACUACUUCAGGAAGGCUUUCCAAUGACCCCGAUGGGGCUGCUCACAGUUCCAUUACCCUGUGCCUACUUGUGCAUAUUUUAGUCCAUUCAGCUCUUCCACUUGGGGUUCAGCCCAGUAUCUGGCUUGUCUCAGAAGGGUCAGCUAACUAAGCUGAGAUGCUAUGUGCCAUUUUACAGAUGCAGAAAGUGAAGUUCAGCAAAGUUCAAUCAAUGCCUUGCCCACGGCAGGUUUGUGCGCUUUUCCUAAAGAGGCACAGGGCUAAAAGAAGUCUUCUGAAAUUCACCCCUUUCAGGAGAAACCUCCAGAGGACCUCAGGAAGAGGUCUUUUUCUGUCAAGUACUGCUAAGCCUUAUAAACACAGAUCACCUGGCCUCAUGGGUGAGAAAUGCUAAAGAGAAAUUGGUUUUCUUUAAAAAAAGACACUGAACUUACCAGGAUGUUAAAAGGUUAGACAUUCAU
rnacentral:lncRNA from 1 species